rnacentral:rRNA from 1 species
UACGGGGGGAGCAAGCGUUGUUCGGAUUUACUGGGCGUAAAGGGCGCGUAGGCGGCGCAACAAGUCACUUGUGAAAUCUCCGGGCUUAACCCGGAGCGGCCAAGUGAUACUGUCGUGCUAGAGUGCGGAAGGGGCUGCUGGAAUUCUCGGUGUAGCGGUGAAAUGCGUAGAUAUCGAGAGGAACACCUGCGGCGAAGGCGGGUAGCUGGGCCGACACUGACGCUGAUGCGCGAAAGCCAGGGGAGCGAACGGG